rnacentral:sRNA from 1 species
UAGCUCUAAGGAGUUCCCUAAUCAUC